CGAACUAACGCUGGCGGCGUGCCUAACACAUGCAAGUCGAACGAGAAAGUUGGCUUCGGCCGAUGAGUAAAGUGGCGCACGGGUGAGUAACGCGUGGAUAAUCUGCCCUUUAGUUUGGAAUAACGUACCGAAAGGUGCGCUAAUACCGGAUAAUACUGAAUGACUACUGUCGUUUAGUCAAAGAAGGCUUCUGUUUACAUGCUUUUGCUGAAGGAUGAGUCCGCGUACCAUUAGCUAGUUGGUAGGGUAAUGGCCUACCAAGGCGACGAUGGUUAGCUGGUCUGAGAGGAUGAUCAGCCACACUGGAACUGAGACACGGUCCAGACUCCUACGGGAGGCAGCAGUGAGGAAUAUUGCGCAAUGGGGGCAACCCUGACGCAGCAACGCCGCGUGAGUGAGGAAGGUUUUCGGAUUGUAAACUUCUAUCAGCAGGGAAGAAAGGGCUUAUAGCCUAUGACGGUACCUGACUAAGAAGCCCCGGCUAACUACGUG
rnacentral:rRNA from 1 species